GGAAAAGAAGGAACAAAAAGUAUGGUGUAGAGGUAAGGAGAUUCUAAAAUAUGUGGAUGCCUGGGGCUUCCCCUCUGAGUCCUGUUACUCCUGGGGUCUUUGAAAGUCCAUCUGGGGACUCUGAGAAAUCCCCAGGGUCUAGGUCCUGCCCCAGAGAUUCUGACUGAGCCCGUUGUGAAAAGUUCCCCAGGUGGUGCAGUUAGGACCUGAGAACCCUGGGAGCCUCUCUGUUUCCCGGCUGACCCACCCUGUUUAUGGACGCAGCAUCCUUCCUCCUGGGUUCCAAUUCAAGCUCUGCCGGCUCGGCAGGUUAUUUGACUCAUCUGUACUUUCAUGCACUUGUCCAUCAAACAGAGGAGGUGGGGAUUGCCUCUCUCAUCGGAUUCUCGUGAGAACUAGCUAAGUCUCCCCAGCACACGGUGAGCGUGCGGUAACCACUGUUGGCCAUGUUAGCCAUAACCAUUUGGAAUGGCACAGAAGACCGGAGGGAAUGUUCCCCGACAAGGAGCCAGAGGAGGGAAUGUUCAGGGCCAGUCUUGCUGAGGGAGGGGAAGUUCACUUCUGGGGGAGCCGGGAGAACCACCAGCUGGGUGAGUGAGAGAACAUUUAGGGGACACACAUCCUUCUGAGGAGUCGAUGGAAGUUUCGGUCAUCUAGAAAAAUGUACCUAUGUACACGCACGACUUUUGUCUACAAAUCUGGGGACUCGCAGACCCUCAAAGCCCACCUGCAGCUCCCAGGUUGAAAUCUGUUGUCAUCUCCAGGCUAAGUAACAGUGCCAUCAACUGCUGUAUUAUUUUGACAGUAUCAACCGAAACAUCAAAUACACAUAUUGUUUGAUCCAAUCAUUUCACUUUUUCGAGUCUGUUCUAUAAACAAUGCACAGGAACAAAAUGGUGAAAGUACGAAGUUGUUUAUUGGAGCCUUGCUGGUUAUGGAAAAGAUAAGAUACAUCUUAAAUGUGCAUCCAGAGAGGACCAAUCAAAGCAAUUAUGUUUGCACAGUGGAACACUCAGCAGCUUUCAAAAAGAGUGAAAAAAUCUUUGUAUGCCAAAGGGAACAAGUUCUAAGAACCGUAAAAGGCACAGACCAGCGUGCCCAGUGUGCUAUGAUUUUUGUAGAAAAAGAAGAAAAUGUAUGUGUGCGUGUAUGUACAUUUGUUUGCAGAUGCACAGAAUGUUUCUGGAACGAAACCCAAUAAACCAACCAGUGCCCCAGGCUCCCAGGAGAACUACUUGACAGGGUGUUGAAUGUUUAAACUAAUUAAAAAAAAAUUUAUAUUUACAAAGCAAGAAAGAAAACCCUGUGCCAGAUGAUGGAGGCUGGCUUCAAAGGUCAAGACUUUUGAAUGGGAGAGACAGGAGAAUCACCUGUUCUUUGGGGAGGAUGAAUCCGUCCACCCAAAUAGAGCAGGUGGGACCUGAGGCCCCUGAUGGGCAGAGCAGGUGAACUUCAUGCAUGGAGAGGUUCUGAAGACAGACACCGCCCUGGAGAUGACCCCAUGUGAAAGGCAAAGGAGGAGUCGAAAGGAUGCACGGUCUCAGAUUGCAUGGGCCGGGACUCCGGGAUGAGGCGGGAGGUGUGGGCUCGGGCGGGGCAGGUCAGGGGGUGAGAGCCAGGGAGGAGCACUGGGGCGAUACCCUGCUGGCAGGUUUUUCUGCAUAGCUGGGCAGUAGCUCAGUGUGGUGGGUCUCACCACCAGCACCGCAUUCCUUUGCUUACCACUUGUCUUAAUUUUCAUGAAGCACUGCCUCUCUUUCCCUUCCCUGGGACUUGGGGGAACGCGGGCUCCACCACAAAGCCUCAGAAACUUCAGGCCGGGAGGACAAGGCCCACAUGAAGACAGUGAGGCCCAGGAGGAUGAGAGCUGAGACAAGAAGGCACAGGGUAACGUCUUGCUUGGCCCCAGCUGGGAACAUGCACCUCAGACAACCCAAACAUUUUGCUGCUCUGUAUGGGCCCGCCAAUAACCACGAGAGUGCCGUGAGUAUUGUUCAGCAACUGCGAAUAAAUUGUCGCGACUACAUACGUUUGCGAAGAGAGAAUCCAGUAAUGACAAGUGACUGCACUUUUCAAUGCCACAAUUACACUCCAUCAGGCUGAAAAAUGUCACUUACUCAAUGAGGCCCCUGUGCCUGCACAUUGGAUGUCUCCGGCUUUUCCCGUUACAGACAAUGACACAGGAAAUAGCGUUACAGAGAUGGUUGCCUUCGUUUAACUUGUAUCCUUGAAUUUCCCAACUGGGCUUACUGGUAGGAGGCGUGGGCAGGGAGGGGUGAUUUUCCACCAUUCACUGGGCUCAUCGCAGGCCCAGGCUGGGACAUUUGUGUGACUGAGUCUGGCCCUUCCAGGGGGAAGACAUCAGGGGACUCCCGGGAAGGGGUUCUUCCUGCCUAAGGAGACCAAGAUGAGACCGUCUCCGUUCUUGCUCUGGCCGUUGCUGUGUCAGGUAUCAGGCCUGGAGCUAUGAAACGGAAGAGGACAGAGGUGGAGGGAAACGGUUUGGGCCCUGGCGAUGCAGCUAUACUGCGAAAGAAUCAGCCCAGAGGUACAGCUGGUCGAGACUUCCCAGAACGUGACAUGGUCCGUUCCCUUCGGCUCAAGCCAGUCUGAGCUGGCGACGGCCCUUGGCACGGCACUGCCGAGGACCAGCUGGGAUGCCUGGGACCCCACCCCCCUCUUAGAACACCCUGCUGGCUCCCCGUGACCCGCAGACCAAACUCGGGCCAUGGCCCUGCAAGCCCAGCCUGCCUGACUCCCCCCCCGCUCUGCGUCAGUCUCGCUGAGCCUCCGUCAGUGCCCCCAGCCCUGGGGCUUCCAAACGUGGGCUGAGAUUCAUGGUGAAAACCACUUAGUUCGUCGCCAACAACAUUAAAAAACUAAGUAGGCUGGACUAGCAAGCAGGAGUACAUUACCCAUGGGAAAGGGAAACAGUGUCCUGAAUCUGUUGUUUCAUUGCACACACACACACACUGCACAUGCACACCUGCACACACGUGUACCGGGCUGCCACGAAAGCAUCUCUCUUCUGUGGGCCCCAGUCGGUGUGGGGGAAACCUUUGUUCUGGAAUGCCUUCCUUCCUCUAGCCAAGGGCCUCUGCCUGUGCUGGUGUGCACCCCCUUCCACAGUCCUUUCCUCCACAGCACUGUCUGGGGCAGACACUCUUGACAUUGGGUCCACAGCACGGCUGCCAUAGCAGGAGCCCAUCGGGGACCUGAGGGCCACACUGGGGCCCAUAUGGGCCGCGUGAGCCUGGGAGAGGAAGGGAGUGGGAACGAAACUUGACAGGAGCCCUGGGUGGGACAGGUGGGAGGGGUCCUGGAGUGUCCCACAUCUGCAGUGACUAGAACUCAGUGUGGACGAGCCAGGGAAGACACAGCUGGGUGACGCUGGCCUCCUCUGGGCUGCCUCGGGGAGCCGGGCGCUCCUGGGCGGUCCUCACCCAGCUCGGACACCCCUGUGCCCACGUGGGUGCUGCCUACAGCCCAUGGGGCAGCUCCCGUGCCUGAGUCAGUGGCUGCCAGCCUGUGAAGCUUCUGAGCAAGAAUCAUUACCUCUUUCGGACAGCGGAGGGGGAGGAAACCGGUUCUGGGAGGCCAAGCGACUUUCCCAAAGUUACUCAUGGGAGCACGCCAGGCCUGGACUGGAAUCCAGGACCCGCACACAGCUAGCAUUGUAUGGAAGUUCUACGCUCCAUAAUUUAACCUAGGACACUUCCAAACACUGAGUCACUACAUCCUGAUUCACAGAGGGCGAGUUUUCUCUGUGGCUUUAAGGUUAGCAGGAAAUUGUGGCCCAGGCCCCUUGGCCUCCGGUGAGGGCCCAUGUCUUAUCCGGUCCACUCCAGGAACAAUAGUGCCGGCCAGAGCUCCAGCUACCACCGCUCCUGGCAGAACAAAUCAUAUAAGGAGGCCUUGGUACCCAUAAGGCAAAGGAGGGGCUGGCCGCUGGCUGGGGAAAGUCUGUGCCUACCUUGGGGUGUGUGCCUGGGAGGGGCAGGAUGCCGCCGCAGGGGGAGGGGCUGGUGAGUCAGCGGAGCCUCCUCCGCCUUCCUCCCCUCCCUCCUGGCUUCCUCCCCCAGGGCCACUGCACCCCCCACUGACCCAGCUUUUUAUUGACCGAGCAGUACAGAUUUUCAUAAAGUAGGGUAAUAAAACCAUUCUUACCCAUCCAAAGUCUAAAGAGCUUUUCCUUCUUGUCUCUU